AUUGAACGCUGGCGGCAGGCCUAACACAUGCAAGUCGAACGGUAACAGGAAUCAGCUUGCUGAUUUGCUGACGAGUGGCGGACGGGUGAGUAAUGUCUGGGAAACUGCCUGAUGGAGGGGGAUAACUACUGGAAACGGUAGCUAAUACCGCAUAACGUCGCAAGACCAAAGAGGGGGACCUUCGGGCCUCUUGCCAUCGGAUGUGCCCAGAUGGGAUUAGCUAGUAGGUGGGGUAAAGGCUCACCUAGGCGACGAUCCCUAGCUGGUCUGAGAGGAUGACCAGCCACACUGGAACUGAGACACGGUCCAGACUCCUACGGGAGGCAGCAGUGGGGAAUAUUGCACAAUGGGCGCAAGCCUGAUGCAGCCAUGCCGCGUGUAUGAAGAAGGCCUUCAGGUUGUAAAGUACUUUCAGCGGGGAGGAAGGGAGUAAAGUUAAUACCUUUGCUCAUUGACGUUACCCGCAGAAGAAGCACCGGCUAACUCCGUG
rnacentral:rRNA from 1 species